rnacentral:tRNA from 6 species
CGGGGUGUAGCGCAGUUGGUAGCGCGCCUGGUUCGGGACUAGGAAGCCGUGGGUUCAAAUCCCGCCACUCCGACCA